UUCAGUACGAUAACGAGUUUUCAAGUUUUACGCAGUUUAGUCAGGAAAAGAUUUGUUUCCAUUGUGAUUUUAUGGUGUUUUUGUCGUUUGCAACAAGCCCUACACAAAAGUUGCAUCUCAGCUAUGGAAAACGUAUAUGAGUCUCGCUCCAUGUCAAGAUUUCGUAGUAAGGGACGUCAAUUUCCACUUUCAUGGUAUUUUGAACCGUGUUGGCAAUCCUCAAUAGACGGCGCGUAUCUCUUGACGACUCGAGCCUCUGAAUGCGACAGCAUCAACAGAAGAGCGAACCCCAAGCACAACAGGUGAAGAUCAUAGAGUUGCAGAUACAAUGGUCGUCAAUCUCCAGAGACGAGACCGGUUUGAGGCACCUAGUACACGUUUACUCGGCUAUUCGUCGCUUGCGAAAAAUGUCAACUUAAAUGACGCUUGUUCUACAUAUACGUUAUAUUAUUGAAUAACAAUAAAUUUACAUCAUUUG